GACGAACGCUGGCGGCGUGCUUAACACAUGCAAGUCGAACGCUGAAGCUCAGCUUGCUGGGUGGAUGAGUGGCGAACGGGUGAGUAACACGUGAGUAACCUGCCCUCUUCUUUGGGAUAACGCCCGGAAACGGGUGCUAAUACUGGAUAUUCACUGAUUCUCGCAUGGGGGUUGGUGGAAAGGUUUUUUCUGGUGGGGGAUGGGCUCGCGGCCUAUCAGCUUGUUGGUGGGGUGAUGGCCUACCAAGGCUUUGACGGGUAGCCGGCCUGAGAGGGUGACCGGUCACAUUGGGACCGAGAUACGGCCCAGACUCCUACGGGAGGCAGCAGUGGGGAAUAUUGCACAAUGGGCGAAAGCCGGAUGCAGCGACGCCGCGUGAGGGAUGGAGGCCUUCGGGUUGUAAACCUCUUUCGCUCAUGGUCAAGCCGCAGCUUUGGGUUGUGGUGAGGGUAGUGGGUAAAGAAGCGCCGGCUAACUACGUG
rnacentral:rRNA from 1 species